rnacentral:rRNA from 1 species
GGAUAAUAUUUUGAACCGCAUGGUUCAAAAGUGAAAGACGGUCUUGCUGUCACUUAUAGAUGGAUCCGCGCUGCAUUAGCUAGUUGGUAAGGUAACGGCUUACCAAGGCAACGAUGCAUAGCCGACCUGAGAGGGUGAUCGGCCACACUGGAACUGAGACACGGUCCAGACUCCUACGGGAGGCAGCAGUAGGGAAUCUUCCGCAAUGGGCGAAAGCCUGACGGAGCAACGCCGCGUGAGUGAUGAAGGUCUUCGGAUCGUAAAACUCUGUUAUUAGGGAAGAACAUAUGUGUAAGUAACUGUGCACAUCUUGACGGUACCUAAUCAGAAAGCCACGGCUAACUACGUGCCAGCAGCCGCGGUAAUACGUAGGUGGCAAGCGUUAUCCGGAAUUAUUGGGCGUAAAGCGCGCGUAGGCGGUUUUUUAAGUCUGAUGUGAAAGCCCACGGCUCAACCGUGGAGGGUCA